rnacentral:rRNA from 2 species
GCGGCGGUGUGCCUAAUACAUGCAAGUCGAACGCGUUGGCCCGAUUGAUUGAUGGUGCUUGCACCUGAUUGAUUUUGGUCGCCAACGAGUGGCGGACGGGUGAGUAACACGUAGGUAACCUGCCCAGAAGCGGGGGACAACAUUUGGAAACAGAUGCUAAUACCGCAUAAUAACGUUGUUCGCAUGAACAACGCUUAAAAGAUGGCUUCUCGCUAUCACUUCUGGAUGGACCUGCGGUGCAUUAGCUUGUUGGUGGGGUAAUGGCCUACCAAGGCGAUGAUGCAUAGCCGAGUUGAGAGACUGAUCGGCCACAAUGGGACUGAGACACGGCCCAUACUCCUACGGGAGGCAGCAGUAGGGAAUCUUCCACAAUGGGCGCAAGCCUGAUGGAGCAACACCGCGUGAGUGAAGAAGGGUUUCGGCUCGUAAAGCUCUGUUGUUAAAGAAGAACACGUAUGAGAGUAACUGUUCAUACGUUGACGGUAUUUAACCAGAAAGUCACGGCUAACUACGUGCCAGCAGCCGCGGUAAUACGUAGGUGGCAAGCGUUAUCCGGAUUUAUUGGGCGUAAAGAGAGUGCAGGCGGUUUUCUAAGUCUGAUGUGAAAGCCUUCGGCUUAACCGGAGAAGUGCAUCGGAAACUGGAUAACUUGAGUGCAGAAGAGGGUAGUGGAACUCCAUGUGUAGCGGUGGAAUGCGUAGAUAUAUGGAAGAACACCAGUGGCGAAGGCGGCUACCUGGUCUGCAACUGACGCUGAGACUCGAAAGCAUGGGUAGCGAACAGGAUUAGAUACCCUGGUAGUCCAUGCCGUAAACGAUGAGUGCUAGGUGUUGGAGGGUUUCCGCCCUUCAGUGCCGGAGCUAACGCAUUAAGCACUCCGCCUGGGGAGUACGACCGCAAGGUUGAAACUCAAAGGAAUUGACGGGGGCCCGCACAAGCGGUGGAGCAUGUGGUUUAAUUCGAAGCUACGCGAAGAACCUUACCAGGUCUUGACAUCUUGCGCCAACCCUAGAGAUAGGGCGUUUCCUUCGGGAACGCAAUGACAGGUGGUGCAUGGUCGUCGUCAGCUCGUGUCGUGAGAUGUUGGGUUAAUCCCGCAACGAGCGCACCCUUGU